GAGGAAUGUCAAAAUAUAAAUCCUGAACAUCAUUCUCUGUAAAAACAAUCCUGGCUGAGUUAGGACUAGCAAAGGCCCUCAGCUCUUUGCCGUGGGUCUAAUCAAGGUUACCCUUGAGACCUUCAUUGCAGAAGGACCUAGACCAAUAAUGACAGAAGAAAAGAAUAGAUAAGAACAAAUAAAUGUCAACACAAUAAGGAGAAAACUCACAAUGCCUCUGAUCAUAUAAAAUAAUAUUUGUUGGAAUGAACUCCGGGAAAUGAAAAAAAAAAAAAAAAAGGAGCAAGCUUUGUAGACUUGGGUGCUCACAAAAGGUUAAAACAGUCUGGUCCAAGUCAGUAGCAAACAGGAAAUAACAGCAAACAUCUGAGCACUUACCAUGUGCCAAGAACUGUACUUAAUGUUUCACAUGUAUUAUCUUACUUAAUCCUCAUAAUAUGAUGAGAAAGGUAUAAUUAUUAUCCUGGCUUUACAGUUGAAGAAACUGAGAAUAGAGAAAUAAAUUUACCAACGUAAUCUUUGGCAAAACAAACAUGAGAGCCCUGACUACAGCUCAUUUUAGAAUCCAAGACCCAGGCUUUUAAGUAUAAUGUUAUUAACAGAAAGUUUAAAAUUGUAAUGUAAUCACAUUGGGAUUAUGGAAAAAAGCAGCAUGUAAGAGGGAAAGAGUAGAAAUCUUCCUAUAAUUCAUAUAACAGGAAAUCAAUAGAUGUUGAAAACGGAUACAUCAAGAAAUAUCACUAUAAAAAUUUUAUUUAGGAAUGUGAAGAUUUACACCAGAAAAAAAACAGCUAAAACUGGCCACUUAUAUGGAGCAGAUCUAUAAGUAGAGGACUGUUAUAUUCUUUUACAAGCUGUUUGGUAUUAC